rnacentral:rRNA from 1 species
UACGGAAGGGGCUAGCGUUGUUCGGAAUCACUGGGCGUAAAGCGCGCGUAGGCGCCGGUCAAGUGCGGCGUGAAAGUCCUGGGCUCAACCCGGGGACGGCGCUGCGGACUGUCCGGCUGGAGUCCGGAAGAGGGUGGUGGAAUUCCGAGUGUAGAGGUGAAAUUCGUAGAUAUUCGGAGGAACACCGGUGGCGAAGGCGGCCACCUGGUU